GCGCUUGCCUGAAUACGCACCUGGUUGACCCAGAUUCGGAAGCUCGAACUUGUCGUCGCUCUCUUCCGCUCCCUUGCGGACGUCGAAGGACCUCAAAACCAUGUAGUCCUGUCUACCAUUAAACCAUCUUUACAAGCAGUCUCCAUGUUUCCAGUAUCUUUCUCCACACUUGGAACUGACAUUUCUUCCAACACAUUUAAAAGAUGAUUGUGCUGAUGGAACAUAUUUAGAAGUGCUCAAGGUUCUGUGAAACUGACCUGGAAUUCAAGGAUUUGUCUCGGCUUCUUUUCUUAAGGCUUUGAGUGAAAGUUCGUAUCCAAGGAAUGUGGCAGCACUUACAGGGAAUCCUCGCACUGUAUUCACUGUAAGACCUCUGAAAAAGACCUGAUUAUAAGAAAAAAGAAAAUGUUAUUUCUGUCAGAUAUUUUUUGAAGAAAUUAUUUGAACAGGAAAGAAAAACCAGAUAUGAAGAAAGGUCUAUUUUCUCGCCAUUAUUUUUUUUUUUUUUUUUUUUUUUUCCAAAAAAAGUUUUUAUUGGUCAAAAAAAAGUUUAUACAAAUACAUAUCAGUUGUGCUUUCUUCUGAUGAGAUCCAGAAGAAAGGAAGUGGAUGUGAAAAAGAAAGGGAAAAAUAUGUAUGCUUACCUCUAUACAGUACAUUCUGG